AAAGCAAGCCCAAGACGAUAUGAGGUUGUAGCAGUGGAGAAGGAGUAAUUCCAAAUGUUGCUCCUGAGGGAUCUCCACAAAGAACUGGUGAAGCACGUGCUGGAGAGGCAGGAGGCAGCCAUGAGUGGUGCUGAUGGUGACCCCACUAGGCUCAGGGCUGUUCACAAGUCCGUAGAUGGCACUGUUUCUGUAGGUGAUCAACACAUGUGGGUAAUGUAUGACGCACAAAUCACAUCAAACCCAACACCAGGACGUAAAUCUGCAUUGGCAAUUUUUAAUGUCUCACUUGUGCAGAACUGAAAUGUGUUUUUAAAGGCACAGAAGGAAGGAAAGGCAGUUGUCUGAGCAUGAAGUCACGGGAAAGGGUGCUGGAGAGAAACCGUGGGCUGCUCUGCGUAGCUGUAGGAAAUGAACAAUGCGGUGCCGAAUGAGAGCUGGCGCUACUGUGGUCCAAGUGCAGGCAUCGCUCACACGUCAGUCGGCAGAGCGCAGAUACCACAGUGCACAGUCGAUCACUGUGGAGUGAAUGCCCAGGAGGUGCUCGAUGCCAGUGACCAGGAGCUGCAGGCGCAGUGUGGUCCUCAUUCAGGACGUGGACAGACAUUCGAAGCAGUCAAGCACAUACCUUUUCCUACCAGAAAUCACUUUCUCUGCAAGUAAACAACUGUCUGCCUACCGAGAAUUAUAAUUUUAAAAAAUGGAGUUGGGUCUAAUUAUAAUUUGUGAAUAAAAAAAUUACAAAAAUAAAAGCAGAGACUUCUGUCCUUGAAAAAAGAGAUAGAAAACUAGAUUUUCCUGUAAUAAGAAAAUCAUGAAUAUUUCACCUUUAUGUCUUUUCAAACGUCAUCUCUUCUUUUUUUUAUAUUCUGCCAUAAUUCACAUUGGGAGAUGUAUACACUAUGGCAACUUCUGUGGAGUAAAAGGAUGUACUAUUAUUUACUGGGAAAAAAUGAAUGAGGAAAGGC
rnacentral:lncRNA from 1 species